AUAAAAGUUCUUUUCAGAACUACCUCUAGUUUCUUUAGAACUACA
rfam:Papilio machaon contig47386, whole genome shotgun sequence.